ensembl:lncRNA
CUCUGAAGUACAGUUAGCAACAUACAUACAGAAAGAGAGACAGCACUUCCUUUGAUCUGUCUUUCAAUUGAUGAAAUCUUUUCAAAGAAUCAUAGAAUCACAGACUAUCCUGAGAUGCAAAGGACCCACAAGAAGGGUACUGAGUAUCGUGUAUCACGCAUGCUGCAACAUCUGACCCACAGAUCACAUCUAACAUCAGGAGUCCUCAAAAUAAGUGUUUCCCAGAACUAAUAAUUCUGGGCUGGAACCCCUCCUUAAUAAGGACUGCUGGAGGGGAAGCUAAGGAAGAAAACCAGAAGCCUAAAGCCGACCAUGGGAAUGAUCAGAAUUCAUCUUGCAGAAGAGUCUAAGAGUUACGGAC